UACGGAGGGUGCGAGCGUUGUCCGGAAUCACUGGGCGUAAAGGGCGCGUAGGUGGCCCGUUAAGUGGCUGGUGAAAUCCCGCGGCUCAACUGCGGGGCUGCCGGUCAUACUGGCGAGCUAGAGCACGGUAGGGGCAGAUGGAAUUCCCGGUGUAGCGGUGGAAUGCGCAGAUAUCAGGAGGAACACCAAUAGCGAAGGCAGCUCGCUGGGACGUUACUGACACUGAGGCGCGAAAGCGUGGGGAGCGAACAGG
rnacentral:rRNA from 1 species